UGUCUUUUUGAAAAAAUAUUGGGGUAGUGCUGACAUUCAAAUUGUUGCAAUCUAGCAUUCAUGGUAGAAAUGUGAAGAGUGAAGACAGACCAGAAAACUGGUACAUUGAAUUACCUCUUUUGGGUAGGUUAAAAAAGUUGCAGUUCUGAUUAUAUCGCAGAAAAGUUUGUGCUUUUUCUUGAGAUAUACCCACAUAUCCCUUAACAGACUUUUCUUCCAUUCCGAGUGGAGGGUAAAUCAUGAAGCUCCUUAUGCCACGAACUUUCAUGGCCAUAGCUCUUAGAUCGUUCCGCAGAGCUUCUUUCUGCAGUUCUACUUUGAAAUGGGAAGGUGGGGUUUCAACGGUGCAGGGAGCUUCGAGAGGAAUUGGGCUUGAAUUUGUGCUUGUUGAUAUUCUCAGGUGUCUUGGAUUUCUUCUGUAUGGAAUGCCUACAUUAUAGAUAGCCCUGUUAUUUUUUUAUUAGCACUUUGGUUCUUUUUCAUGUAUUUCAUUCUUUACAUCAGAUUUACCGCAUUUGAUGCAUACCAUGUUUUUAAGUUUGGUUGACUAAACAUUUUAUAUUCAGGUAUCCACGCUUCUAAAAUUUCUUUCUUCUGUACACUACCGAAGGCAAUGUUUCAUUUUUCUAUUUUGUACAUAUUGUAGGCUUUCACUUGUAUCAUUAAUUUCAUUAUACUCUGUUUCCAACGCAAAUUCUGAAUCAAAUGAAUACUUUCUUCUA